AGUUUGAUCCUGGCUCAGGAUGAACGCUAGCUACAGGCUUAACACAUGCAAGUCGAGGGGAAACGACAUCGAAAGCUUGCUUUUGAUGGGCGUCGACCGGCGCACGGGUGAGUAACGCGUAUCCAACCUGCCCACCACUUGGGGAUAACCUUGCGAAAGUAAGACUAAUACCCAAUGACGUCUCUAGAAGACAUCUGAAAGAGAUUAAAGAUUUAUCGGUGAUGGAUGGGGAUGCGUCUGAUUAGCUUGUUGGCGGGGUAACGGCCCACCAAGGCGACGAUCAGUAGGGGUUCUGAGAGGAAGGUCCCCCACAUUGGAACUGAGACACGGUCCAAACUCCUACGGGAGGCAGCAGUGAGGAAUAUUGGUCAAUGGGCGAGAGCCUGAACCAGCCAAGUAGCGUGCAGGAUGACGGCCCUAUGGGUUGUAAACUGCUUUUAUAAGGGAAUAAAGUGAGUCUCGUGAGACUUUUUGCAUGUACCUUAUGAAUAAGGACCGGCUAAUUCCGUGCCAGCAGCCGCGGUAAUACGGAAGGUCCGGGCGUUAUCCGGAUUUAUUGGGUUUAAAGGGAGCGUAGGCCGGAGAUUAAGCGUGUUGUGAAAUGUAGACGCUCAACGUCUGCACUGCAGCGCGAACUGGUUUCCUUGAGUACGCACAAAGUGGGCGGAAUUCGUGGUGUAGCGGUGAAAUGCUUAGAUAUCACGAAGAACUCCGAUUGCGAAGGCAGCUCACUGGAGCGCAACUGACGCUGAAGCUCGAAAGUGCGGGUAUCGAACAGGAUUAGAUACCCUGGUAGUCCGCACGGUAAACGAUGGAUGCCCGCUGUUGGUCUGAAUAGGUCAGCGGCCAAGCGAAAGCAUUAAGCAUCCCACCUGGGGAGUACGCCGGCAACGGUGAAACUCAAAGGAAUUGACGGAAGG
rnacentral:rRNA from 1 species